AUUGAACGCUGGCGGCAUGCCUUACACAUGCAAGUCGAACGGUAACAGGUCUUCGGAUGCUGACGAGUGGCGAACGGGUGAGUAAUACAUCGGAACGUGCCCAAUCGUGGGGGAUAGCUCGGCGAAAGCCGGAUUAAUACCGCAUACGAUCUACGGAUGAAAGCAGGGGAUCGCAAGACCUUGCGCGAAUGGAGCGGCCGAUGGCAGAUUAGGUAGUUGGUGGGGUAAAGGCUCACCAAGCCGACGAUCUGUAGCUGGUCUGAGAGGACGACCAGCCACACUGGGACUGAGACACGGCCCAGACUCCUACGGGAGGCAGCAGUGGGGAAUUUUGGACAAUGGGCGCAAGCCUGAUCCAGCAAUGCCGCGUGCAGGAUGAAGGCCUUCGGGUUGUAAACUGCUUUUGUACGGAACGAAAAGGCUCUGGUUAAUACCUGGGGCUCAUGACGGUACCGUAAGAAUAAGCACCGGCUAACUACGUGCCAGCAGCCGCGGUAAGAC
rnacentral:rRNA from 1 species